rnacentral:rRNA from 1 species
CAGCGCCUCGAGUGGUGGGGAUGAUUAUUUGGCCUAAAGCGUCCGUAGCCGGCCGAGCAAGUCUUCCGUUAAAUCCAGCGUCUCAAGCGUUGGACUGCGGGAGAUACUACAUGGCUAGAGAGUGGGAGAGGUCAGCGGUAUUCUGGGGGUAGGGGCGAAAUCCUUUGAUCCCCGGAGGACCACCAGUGGCGAAGGCUGCUGACUAGAACACGUCUGACGGUCAGGGACGAAAGCUGGGGUAGCGAACCGGAUUAGAUACCCGAGUAGUCC